CGGGGAGUGAUAAACAGGGUGAUUGAAUAAGACGACCACCACCAACACAACCUGCCAGACUGUUGCACCACCUCUCGCCCAUCCCUCCCCUGCCCCCAGCUGGCCCAUGUCGUGGUGACUGACUGGCUGACUGACUGAUAGGAGUGUGCAUUGGUUGCAAUGAGAACAAGUUAGCAUCUGACAGCACAAUCCUUAGGAGAGAGAAAGAGAAGGAGAGGUGAAGAGACAACAGGCAGAGUGCUCACAAGCCAGACUGCCUCAACCACCACCACCACCACCAGCGUCCCCGUGAGGUGCUGACAAGUGUCCCUGCAGCACCGACAGGAUGGGAGUGCCAAAGUUUUACCGAUGGAUCAGCGAGCGCUACCCGUGCCUGAGCGAGGUGGUGAAGGAGUACCAGAUCCCAGAGUUUGACAAUCUGUACUUGGACAUGAACGGCAUCAUCCACAUCUGCUCCCACCCCAACGACAAUGAUCCACACUUCAGGAUAACAGAGGAGAAGAUGUUCAAGGACAUCUUCCACUACAUUGAGGUGUUGUUCCGCCUGGUGCAACCCCGCAAGGUGUUCUUCAUGGCGGUGGACGGCGUGGCACCCAGAGCAAAGAUGAACCAGCAGAGGAGUCGCAGGUUCCGGUCAGCCAAGGCUGCUGUGGAUGCGGAGAAGAAGGCGAAGGAGCGCGGGGAGAAGCUACCCACAGAGGAAAGGUUUGACUCCAACUGCAUCACUCCUGGCACGGAGUUCAUGGAGCGUCUGGACAGUCAGCUGAGGUACUUUGUCACUAGCAAGAUCUCCCAGGACAAGAUGUGGCAGGAUUGCAAGGUCAUAUACUCAGGUCACCAGACGCCUGGUGAGGGGGAGCACAAGAUCAUGGAGUACAUUCGGUAUGUUAAAAGUGGCCCAGACUAUGACCACAACACCCGCCAUUGUCUGUACGGCCUGGACGCUGACCUCAUCAUCCUCGGCCUCACCACGCACGAGCCACACUUCUCACUGCUCAGGGAAGAGGUGAGGUUUGGGGGCAAGAAGGACAGCAACAGCCGCACACCAACCCCUGAGGAGACCACCUUCCACCUGCUGCACCUGAGCCUCAUGCGGGAGUACAUCAAUUAUGAGUUCCACGAUUUGCGGUGCGCCCUGCCCUUCCCGUACGACCUGGAGAGCAUCAUUGAUGACUGGGUGCUGAUGGGCUUCCUGGUGGGCAACGACUUCAUCCCUCACCUGCCACACCUACACAUCAACAAGGAGGCGUUGCCCAUCCUCUACAGGACCUACAAGGCCACACUGCCUACCUUGGACGGCUACCUCAACGAGGGCGGCAAGCUGCACCUGCCGCGCUUCGAGAAGUUCUUGGUCAAGCUGGCAGAGUUUGAGCUGGAGAAUUUCCACGAGAUUUAUGCUGACCUUAAGUACUUCAAGGGUAAGCGACUGAAGGACGGUGAGGCAUUCAAGGCCAACAAGAGAGCCAUGGACCUCAAGCCCUUCAACUUUGAGGAGGAGGACACCGGCGACACACUCAACGGGGCACUCCUCGGCAGCUUGGAGGAGGACGAUGAUGAUGAGGACGAGGUGGAGGACCUGCGUCGUACUUAUGAACGUUUGGGCUAUGAGCCGGACCCAGCGUUUGUGGACGAUGAGGAUGAGGACGAGGACAGCUCAACAUCAGAGGACGGCGGGGGCGGUGUCGGCGGCACGUUCAAGGAGGAGUUCCGGCUGCACAAGCGGGACUACUACAUGACCAAGAUGAACAUCAAGCACGUGAACUCAGCCGCCCUGCACCACCAGGCCACCAACUACGUGCGGGCCAUCCAGUGGAUCCUCAACUACUACUACAAUGGCAUCUGCUCCUGGUCCUGGUACUACCCCUUCCACUACGCCCCGUACAUCUCAGACGUCAGGGACUUUGCACACAUGGAGAUGGGCUUUGAGCUGGGCCGCCCCUUCCUCCCCUACCAGCAGCUCCUGGCCGUGCUGCCUCCCCUCAGCAAGAACCUCCUCUGCAAGGCCUACUGGAGCCUCCUCACCAGCCCUGACUCUCCCGUCAAGGACUUCUACCCAGACACCUUCCUCACUGACCUCAACGGCAAGCAGCAGGACUGGGAGGCGGUGGUGCUGAUCCCCUUCAUUGACGAGGAGCGGCUGCUGCAGGCCAUGGAGGCGGUCAACUCAAUGCUCAGUGAGGACGAGAGGAAGAGGAACUCACACGGACCCAUGUACAUCUACACCUUCACCGGCCAGAACCUUGGAGACUACCAUGCACCCAAGUACUUCCCGGUGAUCCACAUGAACCACGCACAGGUGGAGAGGGUGUGGAGGGAGACGUGGGAGCUGCCGCCAGACAAGAUCAAGAAGGGUCUGUGUCCAGAGGUCCAGCUGGAUAUAUACUUUGCUGGCUUCCCAACCCUCAAGCACGUCGACCACAAGUUCCACAUGGCCAAGGAGGGAGUGAAGGUAUUCCAGCAGAACAGUCGUGGCGAGAACUUUAUCCUGGACAUCACAGAAAAGGACACGCCGGACCUGAGGGACGUGGCCAACCAGCUGCUCGGGAAAGAGGUGUUUGUGUCUUGGCCACACUUGAUAGAGGCCAAGGUGGAGGCAGUGAGUGAUGCCAGGGACCGCUACCAGCUCGGUGGCAACCAGGAGGUGCAGAGACACCCGGUGGAGCACAACAUGAAGGAGGAGUUCUCUUUGUCACGGAACUCCCUCAUCUCACACCACCACGACCGCUGGGGCAUCAACCUCAACAACACUCCCAUCCUUGUCUAUGCCACACCCAUGACUGGCAGGAGGUACAUCGCAGGGCAGAGUGGCAAGAUGACGCUGGAGAAGGUGUGGUCCAAAGUGGUGCAGCCUUACCCCUUGCAGACCAUUGUGAAGGACAUUGGUGUACACUCCCACGGGUACCAGAUGCACCUCACGCCCCAGGAGUACUUCCCCCCUCGCACCAAGGUCUUCAUGCUGGGCCAGCCACACUACGGAGCCAUGGGGGAGGUCAUUGAGAUUGACCCGAGCCACAAGGGCAGGAUCCGCGUGGCCAUGACAGUGAUGCACGAACCAAACUUUGAUGUGGUGCGGGGCAAGCAGAACCAGCUGGAGGAGCGCUACAUGACAGCCUAUCACGCAGCACAGAGGCUGGGCAUAUCCUCCCACCUGCUGUCGCGCCUCACGGGGACUGUGUUCUUGGCGCCACCCAUGGGGGAUGGGCUGCUGGACGAGACUGAGAUGAGGAACAAGCUGAACAUUGGACUCAACCUGAAGAACAACAAGAAGAAUGAGGAGGUGAGUGGUUACAGCCGGAAGAUCAAGGAGGCAGGGGUGGAGAAGACGACAUGGCUGUACUCGGACAGGUCAGUGGAGGCCAUGAUGGAAUACCACAGCAAGUUCCCAGAGAUCUUUGACCACCUCUCCCUCAACAUUGGCCAGCGUGACAUCUUCCACCAGGAUGAGGUGUUCGGCGAGGCACACAAGGAGAGAGUGGUGGAGCUGGCGGAGUGGCUCAAAACAUCAGACUUUGCCAAGGCAGAGCGGCAGCCGUGUGGGACUCAGGCUCUGGGGGAGGCCGUGGUGGCAUGCGUGUCGGAGGAGGUGGACAAGGCCAACAUUGUGCGGGCCAAGGUGGUCAAGAUGCAAGUCAGACCUCACCUGCUCUUUAAGCCCAACCCCCUCCAGGGCAGCACUCCCCCCGACCACACUGUGACCUUCCACAUGUUUGAUCGUGUUGUCAAUGUGAGGGAGGGCUUCUCUGUUCCUCUUGGAGCUCGGGGGACCAUCAUAGGGAUCCAGCCAGGGGAGAAACAAGCUGACGUCCUCUACGAUAUCCUGUUUGAUGAGGCGUUCCCUGGUGGUCUGACACUGCGCGGCAAAGUGUCGGCGCAGCGGUGUUACUCCCUCCACUGGGCCGCCCUCAUCAACAUCACCCACGGCUCCCGCUCUCCCACUGGCCAGGCGCCCCCCACUCAAGUCUACCAGCCACCUCAGGACAACAGAUGGUCACAGCUGCCCAACUUCAACAGGAAUGACAACAACAGGAACCACAGUCACCAGUCAGCUCCUGUGAGGUGGCAGCAGCAACAGCCACAACCACAGCAACAGCAGCAGCAGCAGCAGAGGUACCAAACUCCACAGCAACGACAACAACAACAACAACAACAACAGCAGCAGCGGUAUCAACCUCCUCUGCAGCAGCAACAGCAACAGCAAAGAUACCAGCACCCACAACAACAGCAGCAACCUCAAAGAUACCAGCACCCUCACCAGCAGCAGCAGCAACAACAGCAGCAGCAGCAGCAGAGGAACAAAGGCAGUGUGGGGCUGUCUGGGUCUCUCAUGGCUGGAUUGAGAGUAGCACCAGAGGGCUCGCCAAGACACACAGACUUGCAGGGCAACACUAACACCCUCAGCCCUGAGCAUGGCGGCCCCCAGCCCCCAGACCCACACCAGCUGCCCAGCCCCGCCAGCCUGCGUAUUGCCCAGCCCCAGGGGAAGGGUGUAGCUAAUGGUGACCUUAACCAAACCAAACCACAGUCACCUUCAAAGACUCAGCAGCGGAAGAUUGUGGAAAUGAAGUCAGCGGAUGAAGUGGAGUGUGUGGUGCACGGAACCUAUUACUCCUAUUGGCCCAAGAUCCUGCAAAAGGGUCUGGUGAAGCCUUCCCCUCACUCCCACAUCCCUUGCUACCCCUUCGUGCCCCUCAACACUGGCGGGCCACGCUCCUACCAGCUGUUUGUCUUCAUCAACACGUGGCAAGCCAUGAGAGACGGCAUCAAGUUCUUCACGUCGGGGGAGCGGCAGGUGCUGUGCUCAGGAGACGCUCAGGGUUGCCUUUUGCCCAAGUACUUCAGCCGGGUGGUGGACACAGAGACGAGGGCAGUGAUAUACCCCAACCCUCAAGGCCAGGGUGUGAGCGGCCCGCCACCAACCAAGACACCACCGGGCCUUGGGAGAGGAGCGCCGAUCUCCGCGGUGCAGAAGUCACACAGUGGCGUGUACAACGACAUCUGGUCACAGGUGCAGCGUCUGGAUGCUGACAUGGUGAACCUCAGACCAUUCCAGGGACAGACCACCCAACUCAGAGCCAGCCCAGGGCGCAUGGAGGUGUCAGUGGACGACAUAUUCCGUGGGGCUGCCAACCACACCCGGCACCCACAGCCUCACCCUAACCUCCCGCAGAACCCACAGUCCCAGGGUGAGCCAAACAUAAUGAGUCUGCUGACUGCCGCACACCAGUCAUAUGCCCUCUCCAACUCCACAGCUGCCACCACUACCCCCACCACAACCACCACCACGCCGCACAAGAACGGAUCUCCAACCAAAUCAGCCUUCGUGCCGACUCAAGUCAUACGAAACCAAACGCCGCGCAAACCAAAGCCAAACGGACAGGAGCGCACACACAGUAACAAAGCCGAGGGUGGCGCCAACGCAAACCCACAACAGCACCACCAGCACCACCAGCAGCAGCAAAGGAAGGACAACCAGAACAGCAGUCACCAGCACCAGCAGAAGCAGACUCAGGGAUCGGAAGGAGCGGCCAGACCCAGGAGACAGGUGCGAAAUAGACUGGCGGUGCGCUUUCCAGGGAAGAAGGACUGAGGGCAUUGUAGGAAUUCAUCACCGUCUUCCUCAGCUACAUAACGCUGGAUUACUUGAUCUUCAUCGUCAUGGUGUCAGUUGAUUCAUCAGGUUCUCAGUUGUUUGGUCUGUAACUUGUGUCUGCCUCCUGACAACUCUCUGUCUGUGUGUGUGUGUGUGUGUGUGUGUGUGUGUGUGUGUGUGUGUGUGUGUGUGUGUGUGUGUGUGUGUGUGUGUGUGUGUGUGUGUGUAGUGAACACUAAGAGGAGAAACAGAGAGAAGUCGUGUUUAUAAUAGUAAAGAAAAUGUUUUACCUGUUUUCAUCAGGUACCUCCAGUAUUGCACUUUAUUACAUGUUGUUUAUGAUUAACCAGAGUGGUGAUGACUGAAGACUAUGCAAUGUACUAAUAGUCUGUGUCCUGUACUUAUAUACUACAUUGUGAAACUCGUGUGUCGAAGUGUGUGGUGCAUGUCAAGUCAUCAACGUGAUUGAUUCACUUCGUUCUGUUGUGAAGUGACUAAUAAUGACCGACAUUUCAUAAAGCUAACUUUGUGUUUAUCAAGUGACCAUAUUUCAUGAUGCCUGAAGUGAUUCCUACUUUACAUGACAAUUUGUAAGUCAAUUGCUAUUCGUACAUCGUACAUUGUGCGAGGUAUUUCCGAAUACUCGUACACAGGUUGCAUGCCGUGUGUCGUGUGGCAGAGGUGACAUAUCAAAGGUUGUGUUGUGGAGGUACAGAUGAGCUUUAAAGGCCCGUGUUCAUCAACGUUUUGCUGUCUCAUCACCACUGCUUUUAACAGGCUCUAGUGGAAGUUAGUGUAGGUUUCAAGAUAUUUAUCCCAUUCUUUUGGCUAACUAGGACCUGCUUGGGGACUGGCAUGUAAUUUGGUUCUUAAUUUUGUUAAAUCGUUUUUGUUGUCCUUGGCCGAUUUCCCCUCAUGAAGACAAAAAAAUAUUUUCUCAUAAUCAAUUAGGAGAUAUUCCCGUGAGAGUGCGACUAAUGAAUUUCUUGGCCUUUGAAAGUAGUGGUGGUAAGAGAACAAGGCGUUUAAGAACAGUGGCCCCCAUGUCCCAUCCGUGACGGUCUGGUGAAUGGAAGACACAGGAUGGGGCGCUGCGUCUCUGAUGCAGCGAGCCCACCCGGUGUGAUGAUGUUGAUAUGUACAAUUCUGUGGUACAAAAUAUAUUUAUUCCCAGUCAGGAGGAUCACGCUUCUCACACCACAGUGCCGCGUGCCCCGGGAUGGCACCAUUGAUUUUCUCAGCAGAGGAGAGAGAUGGACGGCCCUCCAUGCUUACUGCAGCAGCCGGUCACCCGAGCCAGACAGGGAGGAUAGGGAUGUCUGGACCGUGUGUCUGGCCGUGAUAAUUUGUAAUGCUAGAAACAAUGCGUGCUGUCUCGCUGCAGCGCCUGUCUGGUGUAAGGCUACAGUAACACCCCACGCUGCAUGCUGCACCGCCCAACGUGAGGAAUAUUUUCUCACAUUUUGUGAAAUAAAACUGAAAAACAUCA
rnacentral:misc_RNA from 1 species